rnacentral:rRNA from 1 species
AUUGAACGCUGGCGGCAUGCCUUACACAUGCAAGUCGAACGGUAACGCGGGGCAACCUGGCGACGAGUGGCGAACGGGUGAGUAAUGCAUCGGAACGUGCCCGGUAGUGGGGGAUAACUGCUCGAAAGAGCAGCUAAUACCGCAUACGACCUGAGGGUGAAAGGGGGGGAUCGCAAGACCUCUCGCUAUCGGAGCGGCCGAUGUCGGAUUAGCUAGUUGGUGGGGUAAAAGCCCACCAAGGCGACGAUCCGUAGCUGGUCUGAGAGGCCGACCAGCCACACUGGGGCGGAGACACGGCCCAGACUCCUACGGGAGGCAGCAGUGGGGAAUUUUGGACAAUGGACGCAAGGCUGAUCCAGCCAUGCCGCGUGCGGGAAGAAGGCCUUCGGGUUGUAAACCGCUUUUGUCAGGGAAGAAAUCUUCUGAGUUAAUACCUCGGGAGGAUGACGGUACCUGAAGAAUAAGCACCGGCUAACUACGUGCCAGCCGCCGCCGUAA